UUGGGUGACGAGUGGCGGACGGGUGAGUAAUGUCUGGGGAUCUGCCCGAUAGAGGGGGAUAACCACUGGAAACGGUGGCUAAUACCGCAUAACGUCGCAAGACCAAAGAGGGGGACCUUCGGGCCUCUCACUAUCGGAUGAACCCAGAUGGGAUUAGCUAGUAGGCGGGGUAAUGGCCCACCUAGGCGACGAUCCCUAGCUGGUCUGAGAGGAUGACCAGCCACACUGGAACUGAGACACGGUCCAGACUCCUACGGGAGGCAGCAGUGGGGAAUAUUGCACAAUGGGCGCAAGCCUGAUGCAGCCAUGCCGCGU
rnacentral:rRNA from 1 species